GACGAACGCUGGCGGCGUGCUUAACACAUGCAAGUCGAACGGAAAGGCCCUGCUUUUGUGGGGUGCUCGAGUGGCGAACGGGUGAGUAACACGUGAGUAACCUGCCCUUGACUUUGGGAUAACUUCAGGAAACUGGGGCUAAUACCGGAUAGCAGCUCCUGCUGCAUGGUGGGGGUGGGAAAGUUUCGGCGGUUGGGGAUGGACGCGCGGCUUAUCAGCUUGUUGGUGGGGUAGUGGCUUACCAAGGCUGUGACGGGUAGCCGGCCUGAGAGGGUGAACGGCCACAAUGGGACUGAGAUACGGACCAGACUCCUACGGGAGGCAGCAGUGGGGAAUCUUGUACAAUGGGCCGAAGCCUGAUGCAGCAACGCCGCGUGCGGGAUGACGGCCUUCGGGUUGUAAACCGCUUUCGCUUGUGACGAAGCGUGAGUGACGGUAAUGGGUAAAGAAGCACCGGCUAACUACGUG
rnacentral:rRNA from 1 species